CACGUAGGGUGCGAGCGUUGUCCGGAAUUAUUGGGCGUAAAGAGCUCGUAGGCGGUGUGUCGCGUCGGCCGUGAAAACCUGCAGCUUAACUGUGGGCUUGCGGUCGAUACGGGCAUCACUGGAGUUCGGCAGGGGAGACUGGAAUUCCUGGUGUAGCGGUGAAAUGCGCAGAUAUCAGGAGGAACACCGGUGGCGAAGGCGGGUCUCUGGGCCGAUACUGACGCUG
rnacentral:rRNA from 1 species